rnacentral:rRNA from 1 species
GACAGAGGCCUCGAGCGUUAGGCGGAAUCACUGGGCUUAAAGCGUGUGUAGGCGGAUCGUUAAGUGCCUUGUGAAAUCCCACGGCUUAACUGUGGAACGGCUGGGCAUACUGGCGGUCUUGAGCCAUCUAGGGGCGACUGGAACAAACGGUGGAGCGGUGAAAUGCGUAGAUAUCGUUUGGAACGCCAAAGGUGAAAACAGGUCGCUGGGGAUGAGCUG